ensembl:lncRNA
GGCUUGGGAGAAGAGCCUAAGUAUUUGCACCAGGACCAGUGAGGAGGAAGUUAGCACCAGCAGCCUGAGGGGCUUGUGGAGAAAGGGGAAAGGUUUUCCCCUAGAAGGACAGCAGUAUCCCCUUCCUGAAACAGGCCCCAGAAGCUCUCAGCCCUCUGGACCCAGGCUAUUUGGGGCUUGGUUUCCUCAGUGUGGUACUUCAAUGCCUCAGCAGGUCCUCUGAGAUGAACAAGACUCCUGGUAUCCACAGGGCGUAACUGCUGCCACAUUUGUCCAAGAAAAGGAAACCAAGUCCCAGAAGGAUUCAACUACUUGGCCGGCCAUCCAGGCUUCCCUUCAGGCCUCACUCUGGUCCUCCUCUGGUUACUUCACUCGCAUGUCUGAAGACACAUGCCCAUCAGACCCAGAAUUCCCUGCCCAGCUGGUGUAAAGUCUGCCUCUAGGGCCCAGUGGGCCUCUUUCCUGGGUCACAGAUGGUCCUUGAUCUCUCAGGUUCAAGUCUGCUCAUGGCUGAGGGCCCUUGGGAAAGCAGGAAAGCGAUGAAAAGAGGGGUAAGCCAUGGGGCAGCUGGCUCUGCAUCACCACCGUCCAACACAGGACUCCAAGGAAUCCAAGAAGUUGAUAGUUGAGCCUGCCUCACCAAGGAGGGCGUUAUUUAGCAGUUUCUUUGCUUAGUUUAUUACUUUAAGAAUUGAGACAUACAUGAUAUGGGAAUCCCUCAAAGCUACUCUCCUCAGAGCCUUUCCCAAAGCUCACCAUGACACAUACUCAGCUUUUCAAGCAGCUGUCUGAUAUCAAGGCUCAAGCUUUGGCCAAACCAGUCAUCCUCUUGGUUCAGCACAUUAGCAAAUUUCCUAAGGGACCACAACACCUUGUAGCCAAAUCCCUUAGUCCUGGCUUGUGGUGAGUUUCAGGAAGGACACGUCAUCUACAAAGCACUGCACACACAGCACCUAGUUGACAGGAUCCCUGGCACAUAGCUCUGCAAUUGUGCUAUUCUCGUUUUCCGCCAGAGCUUGGAAAUCUCUGUGGUCUUGAAUGAUACUGACUGCUGAGUCCAUCCUCUAAUGCCAGCUAGAGAAGGAAAAGAUAAGAGAGGAGGGGAGAAGAGGGCAGGAG